UACGGGGGGGGCAAGCGUUGUUCGGAAUUACUGGGCGUAAAGGGCUCGUAGGCGGCCAACUAAGUCGGACGUGAAAUCCCCAGGCUCAACCUGGGAACUGCGUCCGAUACUGGAUGGCUUGAAUCCGGGAGAGGGAUGCAGAAUUCCAGGUGUAGCGGUGAAAUGCGUAGAUAUCUGGAGGAAUACCGGUGGCGAAGGCGGCGUCCUGGACCGGCAUUGACGCUGAGGAGCGAAAGCCAGGGGAGCAAACGGG
rnacentral:rRNA from 1 species